CAGUAGCCACGGGAAUACAGAGGGUGCAAGCGUUAAUCGGAAUUACUGGGCGUAAAGCGCGCGUAGGUGGUUUGUUAAGUUGGAUGUGAAAGCCCCGGGCUCAACCUGGGAACUGCAUCCAAAACUGGCAAGCUAGAGUACGGUAGAGGGUGGUGGAAUUUCCUGUGUAGCGGUGAAAUGCGUAGAUAUAGGAAGGAACACCAGUGGCGAAGGCGACCACCUGGACUGAUACUGACACUGAGGUGCGAAAGCGUGGGGAGCAAACAGGAUUAGAUACCCCAGUAGUCCCUGUCUCUUAUAA
rnacentral:rRNA from 1 species